GAAUAUGCUGCUAGCCACAGCGCUAAUAGCAACAAGAUCUACCCUUUUAUGGUGGAGCUUAGCAGAACCUGCAACGACGUGGAGUUCUUGCUUGUAAUGGGCGAUGAAUCAGAAAAAACCAGAGAACUUUGCAGAAGAGAGAAGGUAGAGAAAGUUCCUCACUUCAGCUUCUACAAAGGCAUGGAGAAGAUUCACGAAGAGGGAGGGAUUGGUCCAGAUCAGCUGAUGGGAGAUGUGCUAUACUAUGGAGAUAACCACUCUGCUGUUGUGCAGCUGCAUUCAAGAGAAGAUGUGGAGAAGUUGAUUGAUG
rnacentral:lncRNA from 1 species